rnacentral:rRNA from 1 species
UACAGAGGGUGCGAGCGUUAAUCGGAAUUACUGGGCGUAAAGCGUGCGUAGACGGCUAUCUAAGUCGGGUGUGAAAGCCCCGGGCUCAACCUGGGAAUUGCAUUCGAGACUGAAUAGCUAGGGUACGGUAGAGGGAAGUGGAAUUUCCGGUGUAGCGGUGAAAUGCGUAGAUAUCGGAAGGAACAUCAGUGGCGAAGGCAAUCCCCUGGGCCUGCACUGACGCUCAUGCACGAAAGCGUGGGGAGCAAACAGG